CGCCGCGCACCGCUCUCGCCGCGAGGUGGCGCGCUGCCGCCCGCCCCGAGGUGGGCCGGGCGCGGUGCUGCUGCUCGGGUUGUGGGCUCAGUUGGGCGGGCGGGGUUGUGAGGUGUUCAGCCGGCCUGAGGGAGAAAGGGGGAUUUCCCAAGUUAACGCGCUUUUUAAGUGUGGAAGCACAGAAGUGAAGGGGCGUCACGAGGCGGUGUGAAGAGCUUGUGGAAGGGUUGAUCCAAGUGAGGAUGCCUGAAACAAAACUGAUAGAUAAAGAGUUGUCCUUUCUGUUGUCCACAAGAUUGUUCAUUUUAAGUAGACCUAUUAACCAAAAUGGCACCGUUAUCUCAAUGGCUCGUUUUUUUUUUUCAGAUCUCACUGUAUCCCUCUCCAAGAUGAUCGGGCCCAGUGCUGGCAGGACCUGCAGCAGACUGGGGGAUUGCAGCAUACAUAUGUGAGGACUUCCUGCACCAGGGGCACCCCAGGGGAGUGCAGAGACCCACUGGGAGCUGGCGGUUCUGGUGAGAAGAACUGAGAAGACUCCAGUGGGGCCAGGAGCAGUGGCCAUCGUUCUCUGCGUGUGCAGAAGACAGCCCCAGGGACUGUGGCGAUCGGCACAUAGCGGGUCUGAUAGAGCCAAACAACUUUUAUCUAAUUCUGCUCAUUCAAGCUGGAUCACAGAAGGCUUUAACAAGGAGACUGCAAAACAUUAAAAGGGACUUUACAUCUCUUGGAAGGAUGUAGAAGAGAUUGGGAGUGUAAGUAGUGUUGUCUUCUGUCCUUCUGAUGGAGGCUGGCACCUGGGAAGGAGGAGAACAGGACAAGCGAAUGAUUGGCUGUGUGGAUGGUGCUAUACAUGGGGCUGUGGCUUCCAUGAUCUUCGACAGGCCUUUGAGGUGCUGAGCAUGUUGACUUCAAAUGAGACACAACUGACUGGGUGGGACAAGAAUGUUCUGGGAAACAAGCUGUCUGGGCUGAUCAGCAGAACUUAAAACUAGAUUCGAUGGGGAAAGGAGGUGGAUUUCAAAAUGACAAAGGAAGACUGGCGAACGCUGUCACUUUAGAAGGCAGUGGAGAUGGACUUCAGAUUUGUCCCCAAGGAACUCAGGAGGGCUCCCUGAAGAAGCUAAUACUGCUGAUUGUCUGGAUGAUGUGCCUCUAUACCAGUGCCAGCAGCAUGGGAAAUAAUCAGGAGGAGCUGGAAGACAUGGCACAACGGAAAAACUUACCUAGUUGCUAUCAAGGAAAUGUGGAAUGAAUUGCACAGCUGGAGCACAGUGAUCAAGGCCUGCAAGCUUUUUAGGAGAAAUACAGGGGGAUGGAGGGGCAGGGGAGUUGCUCUCUGCGUUAAGAAGUGGAUAGAUUGAAAAGAGCUGCCUUUGAAAAACAGCCAUGAUCAGAUGGAGAGCUCGUGGGCAACAGCAGGAACUGGUCCAUUGAAGGCCAUCUGGUGAUUGGGGUCUACUACAGGUUGCCCCAUCAAGGGGAGCUUGAGCACAAGGCCUUCUUGCUACAAAAGGCUCUCAUCCUGAUGGGAGAUUUCAACCACUCAGAUGUCUGCUGGGGAAACAACAUGAUGGGCUGCAAGUGAUUCAGGAGACUCCUGAAGUGCAUGGAUGAAUAUCAGGGACUGGUCCAACAAAGGACAUCUGAUGUUAAGGGGUCUACUACAGGCUGUGUGAUCAAGGGUAGCCUGUGGAUAAGGCCUUCUUGCUUCAGAUACAGGAAGCAUUGUAUUCACAGGCUUUCAUCCUCAUGGGGAAUUUCAGCCAUCCAGAUGUCUGCUGGGAAAGAAGCACAGUGGGUUGCAGACAAUCCAGGAGACUCUUGAAGUGUGUUGAUGAUAACUUCCUGGUCCGGGUAUUAUACAAAUUGACCUGAGGGGAAGCGUUAAAAGAUCUGUUGCUCACCAGUGUAGAGGAGAUCAUUGAGGAGGUUAAGAUAGAAGGCAGUCUGGGCUAUAUUGACCAUGCCUUGGUUGAAUUUGUGAUCUUGAGGAAUAUGGGCCUGGAGAAAAGCAAACUCAGGGCCUGAACUUGAGGAGAGAGAACUUCUGGCAGUUUAAGGAAUUAUUAGAUGAGAUCCCUUGGAAAGCUGUUGGAGUAGAGCUGGCAGCUCUUUUAAGGACACGUUUUUGAAAUCACAAGAACUCAGUAUAGGAAAACAAAAAGAGAAAGCAGGAGACUGGUAGGGCUGAGCAAGGACCUACUGGUCAAACUAAGGGAAAACAGGAACUCUCUCUUGAACUGUCUUUCUUGAACAGGGGUGCCAAAAUCUGCACACAGUACUGCAGAAUUGGCCUCACCAGAGCAGAGUAGAGGGGGAGGAUCACCUCCCUUGACCUGCUCACCACACUCUUUUUAAAGCACCCCAGGAUACCGUUAGCCUUCUGUGUCACAAGGGCACACUGCUGGACUAUGAUCAAGCUGCUGUUCACCAGUACACUCACAUCCUUCUCUGCAGAGUUCCUUUCUAUCAGAUCAGCCCCUAAUCUGUACUAGUGUGUAGAGUUAUUUCUCCCCAUGUGUAGGACUCUACACUUGCCCUUGUUGAACCUCAUAAGGUUCCUUUCUGCACAACUGUCCAGCCUGUCCAGGUCUCACAGAAUAGCAACACAGCCUUCUGGUGUGUCAGCCACUCCUAGCUUUGUAUCACCAGCAAACUUGCUGAGGGUGCACUUUAUCCCUUCAUCUAUGUCCCUUAUGAAGAUGUUAAACAAGACCAGAUGCAGUUCUGACUCCCGGGGAACACUGUUAGCUACAGGUUUCCAACUAAGACUCUGUCACUGAUCACAACUCUCUGAGCUGUACCAGUAAGCCAGUUCUCAAUCCACCUCACUGUCCAUUCAUCUGUCCCACAGUUCCUAAGCUUACCUAUGAGGAUGUAGUGGAAGACAGCAUCAAAAGCCUCGAUGAUGUCAAAGUUGACAACAUCCGGUGUUCUCUGCUCAUCUAUCCAGCUGGUCAUGGCAUCAUAUAAGGCUACCAGACUGAUCAAGCAUAAUUUCCCCUUGGAGAAUCCAUGCUCACUACUCCCGAUGACUUUCUUCUCUUCCACUUAGAAAGGCUUGGAUUCCAUGCUUGAAGAUGACAUCCAGAGUAAGUUUUCCAACCUACAAGAUUCCAUGAUUCUGUUUCUUCAUGCUUGGACUAUGUUGCCAUCUGGGAUUUUCUGGUAAUUGCCAAGAAGUUGGGAAGGUUCCAUAGCACUGCGUUUUCAAAUUUGUCCUCGGUGAACUGUCUCAUAUGCAGUGAAUUUCAUGCAACAUCCAGUAUAACAUUAGGAACUCUUCUUUAGGACUGCUACAUGGAUAGCUAAAGUGGAACAACAACCUAUAUGGCACAUGAAAUGCCAGAGUUUGUGGAGGUGCUACAGAAGAGCACAGAGGAUUAAAGUAUCUUGUUGACACUGAUGAAAAAAUAGAGGCAAAAGGCUGGACAUGUUCAUAUUGUGAGCUAACAGCUUUCUUCCAGUCAUAUAGUGAACUCCCUUAUUUUGAGACAUCCUGACAUAUGAUUUUGAUCCCUAGGUCUACUCUGAGGCAGGGGAAAGAAAUUAUAGAAGUCACUUAAGAUAUGAAGGGAAGUGGAUUAGGGAUGGAAUGGUACAAAGCAGGGGAUAGAGAUCAGAUAUAUCUCAGACAGAAGAGACUUGCCUGUUUUAAGUCUGCUGCUGCUAGCAUCGUGUGUUGAAUGAGACUCAGCAAUAGCCAGUUGCAUCUUAGAUUUCGUCCAAGUAACAAUCUAGAGUAGCUUUUGAGUGAGGAGAGAUGAAGGGAUGAGAACAUAUAGGGAUAUGUCUGCUGGAAACUGAAAACUUGAUUCAGAAAUUCACUAUUUAAAAAUGGAAUGUUGUUUUAAAUUAGAAUUAUUUUUUAUUUGCGUGGUUGUAAAUUGUUCACAGUGCAAGCGGGGUCCUCUUCCUGGGAGUUGUAAGCCUAUUAAAAGAAGUGCAGGCUCUGCUAUUUCAGCUGCCUCUUGAGGAUCCCUUAGCAGUUUAAUUGUCCUCCUGUCCAAAAGCCCAUUUCCCAGCUUGAAGGUCCCUGAUGGCCAUCAGUCAAACCAGAAGACGUCGAUGACACUUGUAGGCAAGAAAAAAGUUUAGUUACAUGCCAUGUGCACUCUGUCCGGUAGGGGGAGAUGUUGCCAAACGGCAGGAGUAUUCAAACUGGAGGAAACUGGGUUUCAUGGACGAAAACAAUGAAUGCUCCAAGGAUCACCGAGGAGACGGCUCGCUGUGGUUUUGGGAUAGCCAAGAACAACUGAGCAGAGAGCGGCAUUUCUGGGAAGAGGCAUCAGAAACUACAACAGAUACGAAGAGCUUGAUUCUCAAGAUAAUUCCUCUUCACUUGAUGAAUCCCAGGCAAGCCAAAAGGUUGGACAACCAAGAUGUCUACUCAUCCAUGCUAAACUUCAGAGAGAUCCCUCUAGUUUCUCCUGAUACCUUUGCAUUUCAUUCAGUAUGGCGUGUUGUAGAAGUGAGACUCAAACCCUGGCUUUCCUGUGCCCACAACAUUGUUACUGGAGGAGCUGGAUUCACUGAAUGGCAGAUGUCACCACAUGGACCUUCCCCACGUCACUCUCCAUCUACACCUCUGAACAUGAGAGGGGAGUGUAUCCCAUUUAGGCCACCUUCACUGGACCUGAAGUAAGGUGAGAGAGUCUGUGGGCUCUUCAUGCCCCUGCCAGAAACGUGCCUUCUAACUGGUCUCUUGAUGCCUCACCUGCAGCUGAGGCACCUGCCGCUGAGCACCUGGAGAUGCAUUCCGGCCAAGAGACUGAACACCCAAAACUAUCCAUUAGCAUUUUCCAUGAAGAGAUAAGCUCUGCUCUCUGUUGGAGUUUCACUGUAGUAGCUAGGGGUUUGGGAGACCUGGCUUUGUUUCUGGCUCUGUCAUUCAUCUUCUGCAUGGCCUUGGCAAGUCCUUUCUCUUUUCUGUGCCUGCCUUUGCCCACAUACUCCUCUUCUGAACUAAUGGCGGUACUGUGGCUGUUUGAAUCUGUGUUGUGUGAGUAAAUAAACAGUAACUGUAGAAAGGUUUGAUUUUUUUAAAAAGAUGCUGCUUGGCAAGAUCUAACGUUAACCGAAGAUGGAAAAGGUGUGGUAUCUUGAAGUUUUUCCACCUCUACUCUCUGCUUACCUUCAGUGGAAAGUUGAUUUUCAUCAGCUGAGGAACAGAAACGAGUCCCAGCCUGCUAGCACAACCACAGUGUUAGUUAGGAAUAGUCUGAAACACAUGCAGGGAGUGAAAAUAAACCCCAGCUUAUCUGUACACUGACUUUAGACAAUAAGAGUAGCUGUGGACCAGACAUCUACUGAAAGGUGUCCUGGAGCAGAAGGCAAAGUUUCCCUUCUAAACAGCUUACUUUUGCCAUCCAGGUCCUGGAAACACUCAGCUAUUUGUAAGCAUAGAAUUUUCUCUGCAAAACACUGAUGCUUUGGGGUAGGCUGAGUACUCUGCAUUGAAAUCCAGGAUACAAUGCAGUCAGUGGGUGGCCCCAGACAACUUUGAAUGGGCUUUGGAAUAGGGCCCAAGCAUAUCACAAAGAAAGGGAGAAGGAAGCUUUGCUUUAGCCAAAUCUCUGAGCAUGUGCUUCACCACUGAAAUUAGUAAGAAUUAAGCAUAUACUUAAGUAUUCUGCUGACACUUACCUUAACCACCGAGUAACAAAUACUGUCUUGCAGAGACUCUGCUUAAAAGAGAAAAAUGCCUUUUACGUGUCAAAGAGGGACAUAACAUUUAAAAUGGCAUUUCAAAUUUCUUUUAUUUUUUAGUGACAUAGCAAAAGCAGUAUUUGGCCCUGUGCUGCUUGGAACGAGGACAUUUCAAAUUAUUACCAACUGCAGCUUCUCUCUGCAUCAUUUUGCAUUAUGCAGUUUAAUGGCUGCCUGCUAGAAAGGCAUCUUCUCUGCUUCAGUCAUCUAACAGGAUUUUUGGCAUCCAGCUCAUCAGAUGGGUUAUUUUCUUUAACCAUAUUCCUGUAGGACUGCAUCUUUUAAGCAUCCUGCUGCGUUAUUUUGGCACAACCUUUAUAUCUCUUCAUCUUAUUGUUUCUGGAAUUCCUUUUCUCUUUGUAUCAAGUGAUGUUGCUGUGUGUGCUUUUUCUAACAAAUCUUGGUGGAAGAUCAGAAAAACAAACAAACAAAAAAGGCUAAUGUAUCCUAAGGAUUGAUAAUUUCAGGGUCAAAAGAGAUUUUAAGUGCUGAUCUUCUUGCACCCGCUGAUGAAUCUUUCCGACCAAGAAGCUGGUGUAUCGUAUCUAGCUGGCAGCACACAGAACACAUUAGGAAAACAAAGAGAAUGUGAGAUUAAGCCGAAAACAGGCAAGAGAGGCAUUUUCUCACUGUUCUGCAUGAAGGCAGAAGAUGCUUCAAGAGGAUACAACCUCGGUUUUCUUGUUGGAACUAUGGCCUCUUCCCCCCAUCAGAUUAUUCAAAGGCGACCUUGGGAAAAGAAAUCACUGGCUGGGCUGAAAGCCGGCUAUACACGGGGCCACAAUGACUCUUACUACCAGCAGAGGGAGCAAGGGACAUUUCAGGAUGAAAAACCCUCUCCAUGACCUGAGGCUUUUUGGAUGAAUGUAAUUUUCCCUUUUUUUUCCAGAAGUAUCAUGGCAGUGUACAGUUGUCCCAGGUAUUUAGAAGCAGGAGAAGAAACAGAUCUACAUCCCAGAGGAGUCUCCCUGGCGUUUUUGAUCCUGGACACUGCAGGCACGCUCUGCCACACUGGAGUGGUAUUGGGCAUAAGCAAGAGAAACUUUGAGGAUGAACCUGCUAAUGUUGAGCUGACACACACCGAGUUAUUCCUGAUUGAUACCAGACGAGGCAACAUCACUGAAGUCAAGUGAGAACAGGACACUGCUGAAGUACUGCCUUCUAAAGGAGACUGACCCGAGACGUGUGGCAUCAUUAAAUUGGGAAUGAUGCUGGACAUGCACUGCAACCACACAAGUGAAAGGAGCCUCCCUGUCUAUGUUCUGCCCAAAGACACAACAUGUCCUCCCUAGAUGUUUGAUUUGGGGAAGGACAAGGGAAAGAGAGAACACCGAUUUCCACAAGCCAUGUUGCCUUCUAGUCAUAAGAGACUCAGUAUCAGUAUGAAAACAGACACUGCAUUCCUUCUGACUGAUUGCAGGAGCACAACGACACUGUCUGGGCCUCUGGAAAGCCAUCCAGAAGCCACAGAAUGACUUUGGGUCUCCUCUGUGCAUGUAACCUUUGUGCCAUUUGCGAGGGCAUGUACUGGAUGAAGAAUGCCUGGGCUAUUAGUGUGGUAUGUAAGUGGCUGUUCCAGGGAGCUGCAUAUACCAGAGUGAGUAUUUACCCUGGCUUUCCAAGUGAGAUCCUUCUACCUUCUUUCAUAUCAUCCUCUUGUUCAUCAUAUUGUGCAGACAGUUGAGGCAUCGUGUUUUGCUGCUUUUCAAGUUGUAGCACUGGGGUGUUGUGCUGGGGUUAAGAAAUAAAGAAUAUGAACAAUAAAACUAUGGAUACAAAACUAACACAGCUGGAAAGAAAGCCUACCAGGGGAGAUGCCCUACUAGACCUGCUGUUUAUGAAUAGAGAAGGAAUGAUGGAAGAUAUGGUGGAUGGAAGCUGUCUUCACAGAAUGACUACAAAAUGCUCCUGUAGCUGGAGCACAAACACGAGUUAUAAUCUUCAAACAACAACUCUAAAGAAGCUGGUCUAGCUUUUCCCUGACUGGGGACCACAUCUCAGAUAGACCUUUCUCAGCACAUGUAAAAGGCUUUGGUGUUGUCCCAGAUUGCAUACCCCAUGGAAGAAAUGUUUCUACUAGAUACAGUAACUUGUCCCCUUUUCCUGACACUAAUGGAACAUCUAAAACACAACAGUUGAUCAGGCGAUGCACCUGAAAAUCUGCUAUACAUGUUGUGGCAAGCUUGGUAUUAACAACUUGCCAUGUACUGAUUUUCUGGUUCAGAAGUGGCAGAUUUCUUCACUUGUUGUCAGUCUUUCUUCAGGUGAGCUUUUUGCCACCCCACAGCAUCUACCUCCUUGUCAUCCACACAACUCCUCUCACUCUCCAUGCAAAGUGGAGUUUCUAGGCCAAAUCCACCUUUGUUUUUUGUUCUCCUUCAGUUCUAGGUCCGUACAAGAUCCCUGGAAAUACAAGUUAGACAGGUGAAGGCUGAGAUGAAAUUAGAUGUGAUAUGACACUUCUUCAAUGAGAACUACUGGUGAUAGGCAGACAGGUGGACUGAAUCUUCUUCUCUGAAUCUAGACUGAACACAGCUCCUGGCAGCCUUGUGCUAGGCUGGAAGCACAGAAGUGCCAACUUUUUCUCUGCUGAAGACACAGGAAUGAGAUCAUGUAGUGCCUUGCAUUUUUAAGGGUUUCUGAUGAUAGAGGUAACCUUACAUCCUUUUUUUUCCUACAAAGGCGCAUUGCAGAAAAUAAGCUGCUUUCUGUCCUUUAAAAGAUGAAAGCAAAUGCCUUCCUAGGAAUGGCACCAGAAGAUAACUUUGAAGAGUACACCUGAUGUUACCUUCCUCCUGUGGCUGAUCAAGAAAUCUUUCCCUGUGGUUUUCUCUCAUGGCAGAGUUUUCUGCAUCCUUCUUGAAUGUGUGUAGGCCUGGGUUCUGAGCACAGAACCCAGAACUUCCCUUGUAACCAGCUGUAGAAGCUCCUGUUUAGUUAAGGUGAGGUCUGUGGACUUGUCCACAAUCUAAUAAAGGCUGAAGUGGUUAUGGUAGCACCAUAAGAUACUAUCCUGAAGUAGUGCACUCAGUGCCACGCAUAUUAAUAAAGCUGAAUACUUUCUUAUGGUGUCGAUUAGUGGUCUUCUGUCUCCCUUCUCCUGAAGUUCUAGCAGACAAGUAGGUGAAAGAUCAUGAAAAUGUCUCCUGAA
ensembl:lncRNA